UGUGAGAUGGGAAUUGCACAUGUGAGAAGGGAAGGCAACUGAGGCUGUUGAUGGGGCAAGGAACUUCAGGAUGCCUUUUAUGAGAAAACUUUGGGCCCAAGAAGGUUUAUGUUGAACCUUCAAACACAUGCUGUUCAAAUGGCUUGAAAUAUUGAGUGAAAUAUGUUCAUCUUUCAUUAGCUGGAGAAAAGGCUUUUUACUUUCCUGUUCCUACCCCCCAAGCCCUGGAGAGUUCAUGGAGUUCCUUGGCUGCCAUGAAAUCAGCAGUGCCCAGGAGUGGGACCAGUCACAGUGGAAACCACAAGGGAGAUUUGUGUAGAUCGGAUGGGAAAUCACUGGAGGCCCUCAGGACUGGUCAGCAGGAUCUUUGCUGCAGCCAGGAAUAGAGUUUCCCUGUAAGUUGUUUGGCGAAAGUGUGUGGGGCAGGUUUGUCUCAGUGCCUUACCCAUCCUUCUGCAGUCUGGUCUUCACCUCUAAAAUGUGAGUGAUCAUUGUAAAGUUACCUAAAGUUACCUAAAAUGAGGUAACCCAGGCUUGAGUGUUGUGUCUGACGUUGUGCAUUUCUAUGUUGUCUCUCCUCCCUUUGUGUGCUCGAGCGCUACGGCACUGCAGGCAAAACCGGUGGAUGUGCUACGGCUGGCAGCAGAUUGUCACUCCAGGGCAGAGACACUCUGGGCCACCCUCAGCUGUGAUGAACAGGACAUGCUCUGGGAAAGCCUGUGAGGCAUGGGUGCAGAAAUGCAGGAUGGUCCUCACACUUGGGGCCAGUUUGACCCUUAUGUGGUGUGGCUGUGGUCAGGUCCUUAUGCCAGGGAGCGGGCUCUGAGCAGCACAGCAACUGCUCUCCGAACAGUCUGGGACAUUUUCAUGGGGAAGUGUCUGGUGGGAAUAUGGAACUCAGAUCUUGUCUUUCAGCACUAAUGCUCGCUCCCGGGCUGGCUGGCUUGAGGCUGGAGCCAGACUGCAAUUGCCCAAGUUAUUUCUGCAAUGAGGAAUAUAUGCAGAGUCAAGCAGAAAGCAUCUCGGAAGAAGUGAAUUACCAGCCAAAUAUAGAUUAUUUCAUUUUGAGGGACGUCAUCCAAUCUACUCAACUUCUCAGUCAUUCAGCAACUUUUAAUGUCUAUUAAUGCCUAUAUUUAUAAUAAUCAUACAUACUAAAAGUUCAUCCUGUAUUACAUCUUUAUUGCUUGCUCCUGGCAUAUAAUGUUAGACAGGGCAAUGCCUUUUCAUUCUUCUUUGGGGCGUCUAG